GACGAACGCUGGCGGCGUGCUUAACACAUGCAAGUCGAGCGGUAAGGCCCUUUCGGGGGUACUACGAGCGGCGAACGGGUGAGUAACACGUGGGUGACCUGCCCUCAGCUCUGGGAUAAGCCGGGAAACUGGGUCUAAUACCGGAUAUGACUUCAUGACGCAUGUUGUGGAGUGGAAAGCCUUGUGCGGCUGAGGAUGGGCCCGCGGCCUAUCAGCUUGUUGGUGGGGUGANGGCCUACCAAGGCGACGACGGGUAGCCGGCCU
rnacentral:rRNA from 1 species